AACGCACGAGACCUGCGGACCUGCGGAGGGAUCAUUACCGAGUUUACAACUCCCAAAACCCCUGUGAACCUAUACCAUUACUGUUGCUUCGGCGGGUCAUUGCCCCGGGGAAAGGACGAGGUGCCGCCUAGGCUCCCCGGCCCGCCCCCGGAAACAGGCGCCUGCCGGGGGAAUCAAACUCUUCUGUAUUUUUUACUUUUACUGUUAUACUGUCUGAGUACAAAACUAUAAAUGAAUCAA
rnacentral:misc_RNA from 1 species